rnacentral:lncRNA from 1 species
AUAAGCCUAUGACAAUUGAAAAAUUUCUUUUAUAAAGAUUUAUUUAUUUUAUGUGUACGAGUACACUGUAACUGCUUUCAGACACCCCAGAAGAGGCCAUUGGAUUAGUCCUAUAACAGAUGGUUGUGAGCCACCAUGUGGUUGCUGGAAAUUGAACUCUGGACCUCUUGUAGAGCAGUCAGUGCUCUUAACCACUGAGCCAUCUCUCCAGCCCCUGAAAAAUAUAUUUUAAUGCAAUAUUUUAUAUAGCAAAUUACAAACUAUGUUUAUAAUAAACUCAUAAAUUAUACUUCAAAGGACUUUAAGAUUAUUUAAGUUGACUGAUGUUUUAUUUAAGAUUUCAACCUAGUGCUAAGGAGAUGGCUUAGCAGGUAAAGGGCUUGCUGCCUAGCCAGACAGCCAGGGUUGUAUAAGUUGUCCUCUAAUCUACACACGCACACGCACACGCACAUGCACACUCUCUGUUGUAUGAAUGUGCCCUCCUUAUAAAUAAAUGUAAUCAAUCAUUUUAGAAAAGAUUUUAACCUCAAAUACAUUUUGCUGGGAUAGGAAAAUAAAUUUAACUGUUAAUAUGAUGCUGGUUAGUAAAUGUAUCCUUUUUUUGAGACAGGGUUUUUCUGUGUAGCCCUGGCUGUCCUGGAACUUAUUCUGUAGAUCAGCCUGGCCUCAAAUUUACAGAGACACACCUGCCUCUACCUCCCAAUUAUUGGGAUUAAAGGUGUGUACCACUACUACCUGGCUACUAAUAAAACAUGUUUUAAAAGAUGUCUUUGUCCUAAUUGGAUUUUGAAUGGUAUUCUAUUUAGAUAGCUUCUAUAAUAAUCCUUAUGAAGAUUUUUCUGUAAUGGAUGAGUAAAAAUAUGGACAGUCAUUUGGUUGAGAUAUACAACUCUGUUACACUAGUCCAACUAGUUAAAAAGAGAAAUCUUGCAAAUGCCCAGAAAUAAUAAAUGGCCCCUAACUAAGAGUUAAUUUUAGCAGUUAAAUGAUAACAUAAUAAUAGGUACUUGGCUGUGCUUGAUAGACUUAAUAUUGAUGAGAAUUUAGAGUGGAUCCAACUUUAUAAAAUUCAUAGUUUUCUUUUUUGAAGAUCUUAGGCAAUGCUUUUCUCCCUGUUGUCUUUUGCCCUUUCUCCUUUUUAUUUCCCCUUUUUCCUCUUCCCCUCAUGGUAUAGCUUCUCCUCCUCUUCCUGUCUUCCUGUCAUUCCCUUCCUUGCAUGCCCUGUUGCUUGCUGGUGUUCUUUCAUGGGUGGCCUUUUCCUGAUAUAAGAGGGCCCCUGACUGAGUGGGCACCAAGUGAGGGUAAAGGCAAGGUCGGAUUUGAGUUAUAGAUGGAAACUGGGUGGAUUAGGAAAGAAUGUUUCCGGUUGAUGUUAGCAGUGUAUAACUCUGAAGAGGUAAGAUAGGUUGAAAUGAGUUAUAAAUGGAUAGGUUUCUGGGGUGAUGAUCAUUUUUGAUUCAGAUUUCAUAAACUAUUUUAUGACACAAUCUGGCUAUAAGAAGAUGAGUAUAUUGAAUUGUAUAAAGAUGGGUUUGACUUGGCGUUAAAGCAUCAAAUGUUUUGUUGAACUAUUUUGUUUCCUUUUAAACAGUGUUUUUUGUUAUCACCACCUAUUUUAGAAUAUGGCUGUAUCAAACAUUUUUUUGUUUUGUUUUUGUUUUUUUCCCCCAGAAUUUAAUUCUUCGUUUAGUCUCCAAUGUUUAAUGGCUGCUUUAAAUAAUUAUUUUUUGGACAGGAGGGGGAAAUUAAUCUCUUGUGUCCUAUAACAAUACUGUAGACUAGAUUAUUUAUAAAUUAUAUUAGUCUGACUAUAUUAGUUCUGGAGGCAGAAUAUCUAGUAUCAAGGUUCCUUAAUCUGGUGAGAGACUUUGUACAUAGAAUAAAAAAGGAGAAAAUCCACUUUUGAUAAUGGUAUUACUUACUCAUGAGAACAGAACCCUUAUGACCUGAUAACUGUUUACAGCUGUGGUCUUUUAACACUGGUGUGCUAGGGCAACGCUUCCCAGCCUUCCUAAGGCUGUGACCCUUUAAUACAGCUCCUCAAGUUGUCAUGACUCCAAACGUAAAAUUACUUCAUUACUACUUCAUAACUGUAAUUUUAAAACUGUUAUGAGUUGUAAUGUAGCUGGGCAGUGGUGGUGCAUGCCUUUAGUCCCCACACUUGGGGAUUGGGGUGGGCAGAGGCAGAUGGAUCUCUGUGAGUUUGAGGCCAGCCUGGUCUACAGACUGAGUUCCAGAAAAGGAAGAUAACUCAGAGAAAACCUUGUCUCACAAAACC